UUUUUAGUAUAAGAAUGCCCCAGGUAAUAUUUGGGAUAUCCUUAUGCUAAAA
rnacentral:pre_miRNA from 1 species